CGGGGUGAGUAACGCGUGGAUAACCUGCCUUACACUGGGGGAUAACACUUAGAAAUAGGUGCUAAUACCGCAUAAGCGCACAGAGCCGCAUGGCUCAGUGUGAAAAACUCCGGUGGUGUAAGAUGGAUCCGCGUCUGAUUAGCUGGUUGGCGGGGUAGAAGCCCACCAAGGCGACGAUCAGUAGCCGGCCUGAGAGGGUGAACGGCCACAUUGGGACUGAGACACGGCCCAAACUCCUACGGGAGGCAGCAG
rnacentral:rRNA from 1 species